rnacentral:rRNA from 1 species
CCUACGGGCGGCACCAGUGGGGAAUAUAGGACAAUGGGCGAAAGCCUGAUCCAGCAAUGCAGCGUGUGUGAAGAAGGUCUUCGGAUUGUAAAGCGCUUUCGACGGGGACGAUGAUGACGGUACCCGUAGAAGAAGCCCCGGCUAACUUCGUGCCAGCAGCCGCGGUAAUACGAAGGGGGCUAGCGUUGCUCGGAAUGACUGGGCGUAAGGGCGCGUAGGCGGUUUAUGCAGUCAGAUGUGAAAUCCCCGGGCUUAACCUGGGAACUGCAUUUGAGACGCAUAGACUAGAGGUCGAGAGAGGGUUGUGGAAUUCCCAGUGUAGAGGUGAAAUUCGUAGAUAUUGGGAAGGACACCGGUGGCGAAGGCGGCAACCUGGCUCGAUACUGACGCUGAGGCGCGAAAGCGUGGGGAGCAAACAGGAUUAGAUACCCGCGUAGUC